rnacentral:rRNA from 1 species
CUACGGGCUGCUCCAGUGAGGAAUAUUGCACAAUGGGGGGAACCCUGAUGCAGCAACGCCGCGUGGAGGAUGACGCAUUUCGGUGUGUAAACUCCUUUUAUAUGCCAAGAAAAUGACGGUAGCAUAUGAAUAAGCGCCGGCUAACUCCGUGCCAGCAGCCGCGGUAAUACGGAGGGCGCAAGCGUUACUCGGAAUCACUGGGCGUAAAGGACGCGUAGGCGGGUUGGAAAGUCAGGUGUGAAAUCCUACAGCUUAACUGUAGAACUGCACUUGAAACUUCUAAUCUAGAGUAUGGGAGGGGGAGAUGGAAUUAGUGGUGUAGGGGUAAAAUCCGUAGAUAUCACUAGGAAUACCUAAAGCGAAGGCGAUCUCCUGGAACAUUACUGACGCUAAGGCGUGAAAGCGUGGGGAGCAAACAGGAUUAGAUACCCCUGUAGUC